CACCAGUCAUUUUUUAUAUGUUACAUUAAGAAUUUUUUAUUCCUAAAAAUGUAUUAAGGAUAACGUUCUGAUAGCCAGAGAGUAUGCAAAAUGUUUCAGAUAGGGGCCGAUGUGAGGGUCUCGGAGCGUGCCAUUGACAGUUUAAACGGGGCAACCCGUGUCGGGUCCCACAGGCUUUGUGCUGUAGAGGGCCCUUUCGUUGUGGGUAGUUACAGGGAGUUACGUGGGAGUCCCAAGGUUUCCUGCAUGUUGGCUGCUUGUUGUAGAUUUUGUAUCGAGUAGGUAUUUGGAUUAUCAGUGGUGACUGCCACCGGUAUGGGAUGUCGUUGGCUCUAAGUUGACUUGUGAGGGGCUGCAGGAAUUUCCUCCAUUGCAUGGUAGAUCUGCAUAGAUCCUCUCUGCUUUGGGAUCUAAAAGUUGCCUUCAAAUGUGAUAUUCUUGGCCAAUUUGGGCGGUUGGAGAGACCCCACCAUUGUUCUUAUAAGGUGGGGGAGCUCUGCGUUUGGGAUCCCCUCUGGUAGCCCACGCAGUUUGAGAUUGGUGUGGCGUCUUGCAUCCUCCGUCUGAGCAAAGCGCUGUUCUAAGGCUGCAUAUUGUUUUUUCAGUGCUUGUUCCUGUUUCCAGGGGCCCGGGUGUCUGCGUGUGGCAGCUCUGACGCCGCUGUCAUAAUUCAGUUUUUAAAGAAUAAACCUGCCUGGUGCUUUCUGAGUAAACUGCUUAUAAAAACAAUUCCAAGCCAAUAUUCAUUCACUCAUACAAGUUACAUUUUAUCUAAUACAAAUUAUAGACCAAACUAGCACAAGUGAAAAAUCAAUCAAUCUCCACGUCACAUUCUUUCAGUUUAGUA